rnacentral:rRNA from 1 species
CCUACGGGUGGCAGCAGUGGGGAAUAUUGGACAAUGGGGGGAACCCUGAUCCAGCGACGCCGCGUGAGUGAAGAAGUAUUUCGGUAUGUAAAGCUCUAUCAGCAGGGAAGAAAGGAAUGACGGUACCUGACUAAGAAGCCCCGGCUAACUACGUGCCAGCAGCCGCGGUAAUACGUAGGGAGCAAGCGUUAUCCGGAUUUAUUGGGUGUAAAGGGUGCGUAGACGGAGAAGCAAGUUAGUUGUGAAAUCCCUCGGCUUAACUGAGGAACUGCAACUAAAACUACUUCCCUUGAGUACUGGAGAGGAGAGUGGAAUUCCUAGUGUAGCGGUGAAAUGCGUAGAUAUUAGGAGCAACACCAGUGGCGAAGGCGACUUUCUGGACAGUAACUGACGUUGAGGCACGAAAGUGUGGGGAGCAAACAGGAUUAGAUACCCGGGUAGUC